rnacentral:rRNA from 1 species
GCUGCUUCGCUGACGAGUGGCGGACGGGUGAGUAAUGUCUGGGAAACUGCCUGAUGGAGGGGGAUAACUACUGGAAACGGUGGCUAAUACCGCAUAACGUCGCAAGACCAAAGAGGGGGACCUUCGGGCCUCUUGCCAUCAGAUGUGCCCAGAUGGGAUUAGCUUGUUGGUGAGGUAACGGCUCACCAAGGCGACGAUCCCUAGCUGGUCUGAGAGGAUGACCAGCCACACUGGAACUGAGACACGGUCCAGACUCCUACGGGAGGCAGCAGUGGGGAAUAUUGCACAAUGGGCGCAAGCCUGAUGCAGCCAUGCCGCGUGUAUGAAGAAGGCCUUC